UUGCUUUGGCAGCAUAUAUACCAAAAUAUGAAUAAAACAGAAGAGAUUAGCAUUGCCUCUGUGCAAGAAUGACAUGAAAAUUUGGGAAGUGUCCUAUGAUUAU